rnacentral:rRNA from 1 species
GAUGAACGCUGGCGGCGUGCCUAAUACAUGCAAGUCGAGCGAACAGACGAGGCGCUUGCUCCUCUGACGUUAGCGGCGGGCGGGUGAGUAACACGUGUAUAACCUACCUAUAAGACUGGGAUCACUUCGGGACACCGGAGCUAAUCCCGGAUAAUAUAUUGAACCGCAUGGUUCAAUAGUGAAAGACGGUUUUGCUGUCACUUAUAGAUGGAUCCGCGCCGCAUUAGCUAGUUGGUAAGGUAACGGCUUACCAAGGCAACGAUGCGUAGCCGACCGGAGAGGGGGGUCGGCCACCCGGGAACUGAGACACGGUCCAGGCUCCUACGGGAGGGAGCAGUAGGGAAUGUGCCGCAAUGGGCGAAAGCCUGACGGAGCAACGGCGCGUGAGUGAUGAAGGUCUUCGGAUCGGAAAACUCUGUUAUGAGGGAAGAACAAAUGUGUAAGUAACUAUGCACGGAUUGACGGUACCUAGUCAGAAAGCCACGGCUAACUACGUG